AGCUCAGUUGGUUAGAGCGCUACCUUGACAUGGUAGAGGUCACAGAUUCGAGUUCUGU
rnacentral:tRNA from 2 species